GAUGGGACUGCGGCUGAUUAGCUAGUUGGCGAGGUAACGGCUCACCAAGGCGAUAAUCAGUAGGGGCUAUGGGAGUAGGAGCCCCCAGACGGGCACUGAGACAAGGGCCCGAGCCCUACGGGGUGCAGCAGGCGAGAAACUUCCGCAAUGCGCGAAAGCGUGACGGGGGUAGUCCGAGUGCUAGCCUAACGGCUAGCUUUUAACCAGAUUGAAUCUCUGGUGGAAUAAGAGUCUGGGCAAAUCCUGUGCCAGCCGCCGCGGUAAUACAGGUGGCGCGAGUGGUGCCCGCGAAUAUUGAGCUUAAAGCGCCCGUAGCCGGCUUCGCAAGUUUCCCGUCAAAUCUCUCUGCUUAACGGAGAGGCGCGCGGGAAAUACUACGGGGCUCGAGAGUGGGGGAAGCCAAGAGUACGUUAGGGGGAGCGGUAAAAUGCUUUAAUCCUUAACGGACUACCAGUGGCGAAAGCGCUUGGCUAAAACACGUCUGACGGUGAGGGACGAAGGCUAGGGGAGCAAACGGGAUUAGAUACCCCGGUAGUCCUAGCAGUAAAUGAUGCAGACUUGGCGUUGCAGCCAAUUCGAUUGGUUGCAGUGCCGUAGGGAAACCGUUUAGUCUGCCGCUUGGGGAGUACGUUCGCAAGAAUGAAACUUAA
rnacentral:rRNA from 1 species